rnacentral:rRNA from 1 species
CGGCCGCGUCGACGAACGCUGGCGGCAUGCCUUACACAUGCAAGUCGAACGGUAACGGGUUAAGCCGACGAGUGGCGAACGGGUGAGUAACACGUGGGUAACCUGCCCUUCAGUGGGGAUAACAUCCGGAAACGGGUGCUAAUACCGCAUAGGUUCUUUUUCCACAUGGAAAGAGAAGGAAAGACGGCCUUUGUGCUGUCGCUGAGGGAUGGACCCGCGGCGUAUUAGUUAGUUGGUGGGUAAAGGCCUACCAAGACCAUGAUACGUAGCCGACCUGAGAGGGUGAUCGGCCACAUUGGGACUGAGACACGGCCCAAACUCCUACGGGAGGCAGCAGUAGGGAAUCUUCCGCAAUGGACGAAAGUCUGACGGAGCAACGCCGCGUGAGUGAAGAAGGUUUUCGGAUCGUAAAACUCUGUUGUCGGAGAAGAACACGUAAGCGAGU